AACCAUCCUUCACUUCUUCUUUCUUUUUCUUCUUCCUCCAUCUUUGAGUCUCUGACUGAGUGAGUCUCUAUAAGAUUCGUCACCACCGCCUUCUUCACCACCACCACCACCAUCAUCAAUUACCAACAACAAGUUUGUAGUGAUUUCGAUUCGCGGGAUCAGUUUGUGAAAGAAUCACACUAGUUUUUAUUUCCUCCAAGUAAUCAGUAGUAGUUGGGGGAAAAUUAAAGGUUGGGUAACCAUAAACAAAGCUAUAGAAGUUGUUUUUCCUUCUUCCAUUCAUAAGCAAUAAUUGGUGGUUUGAAGAUAAAGCUUCAAGUGAAGAAAUUUGUUUCUGGUGUUUGUUGUCCUUGGAGAUUUGGAUUAGCGAGCUAAGGGUUUGAAUUCAUGAGUUUUAGCAGCUGAUAAUGAUGCAGUGAGAUUGUAGAGAAGAAAUGGUGCUGAGCCACAUAGAGUUGCAGGAACUGAAGGACUUGGAACAUGGCAGAUGGUUUGAGUUAGUUCAGUUAGGAAGUUGAGAAAAAGAAUUGCGAUGCAGGGAUAUAGAUGUAAGAGAUGGUGGUUUUGCUGUUAAGAAGUCAGGGAAGGUUGAGCUGCUGUUAUAAUUUUGAUAUCCAGAGAAUGGAGAAUGUUUAUCUUAAGAACAUAAUGUUUUAAUGUAUUAAGAACACACUGUUAUUCCUUUGUUUA